ensembl:lncRNA
CCCGUAGAGAGCUCAUCUGAGAUCUUAUCCCCUGCCCAGGCUUCAGUAGGUCUAGCCCUGAAAGAUGUCCUAGGACUCAGAAGUCCAGAAAACAUACAACCCUGAAGAGAGAAGACAUCCCAAUGGAAGUGUCAUCCUGAGACACUAGGGCCCAGGAACCACAGAGCUCUGAGAGGAAGCCUCCUGGGUGGUUGCAGCUCCCAGGGGAGAGAGUCCCCAGCUGAGCUCGGGAGCUCAGGAGCUCAGCCCUGACCCAUCGCUUCCCUUCUUCCCUUCAUUGCUUCUUGGCUUCUUCUGAAGAGAGAGCUACCAGGCAGCAAAUCCCAUAAAAGAUUUAUCAGGAAGGUCUGGGGUGUAGAGGGACAAAUCCAGGAGUGGCUGCCUCUGCUCCUGAAAGGAAGUGGACAGCAGGGAACUGAGCAGACACAGCCUUUAUAGAGGGUUUCUUAGGGGUGGAACUUUCCAGGGCAGAGAUAUCCAGGCUGAGGAUUAGCAGGAUUUCACAUUCUUAGCUUGGAAGAGGUCAGGGAUUGGUGGGUUUUCCUGUUCAGAUUUUUUUUUUCACCUAAAAUAUCGUAAUCUGGGGAGGGUCCUGUUGUGGGGCUGGAGAUGACCUUUGUGACAGUUACAGAGGCUUGAAACACUAUUAUGACAGUUAGUGGGGUCUGGAGGUUGGGCCUGGCUGCUGGAGCUCCUCAGGAGCCUGGACACUUUCCAGCCCUGGGGGUUUACAAAGUUGACUAAGUAUAAAACUUUUACAAAGGGAGUUCCCUGAUGCUUGAGUGGCAUAAGCAGCCAUCCCAGGGUCUCAUUAUGUAGUCCUGGCUGUCCUGGAGCUCACUCUGUAGACCAGGCUGGCCUUGAACUCUUGAUCUGCCUGCCUCUCCUUCCUGAGUGCUGGGAUUUUCUUGACUAAUGACUCAUGCAGGAGGGCCCAGUCCAUUGUGGGUUGUGCUACCUCUGGGAAGGUAGUCAUGGGCUCUAUAAAAAAGCAGGCUGAGCAUGCUAUACGGAGCAAGCCAGUAAGCAGCACCCCUCCAUGGCCACUCCUUCAGCCCCAUUGUUGAGUUUCUGCUUUUGGUUUGACUGUAAUCUGUAAGUCUUUCCUCCCUGAGUUGUUUUCGGUCACAGUGUUUUAUCAUAGGAAUAGAAACCAGACCAGGGCAGUGUGUAUAUCCUAUAUGUACAAAUGCGUGUAGGUGAAUAUGCCUCUGCAUGUUCAGAGGGGCCAGUGGAGACCACUGGGUGCAAUACCCUUCUGUCCUUCUACCACCCCCUGCUUUAUUCCUCUGAGGCAGGGGCUUGAAUCUAGGCUGGAAGCUAGCAAACCCCAGUAUUCCUGUCUUUCCCUCCCACGGAGCUGAGAUGAAGGUAUGUUUGGCCACACCCCAGUUUUAAAGAUCUGAGUUCUGGGAACUUAAACUUGGGUCCUUAAGGUUCCCCAGCAAAUACUCUCCACCCCUGAGUUCUCGCUCCAGCCCCUAGCCUUGUGUCAUUAGCUGCAGGCUCCCGAGUGCUGAGCUCCAUGAGGAACACAUACUAAGGUCCAGGGUGUCUAUCUGGAUUUCUUGCAAUGGCCACCUAGCUGGAGGCUGCACACUGUCCUUCGACAUCAAUCCUGCUAUCCAGAGAUUGUUUUGGAGCUUCUUGCCCACUCUGUCCCUUCCUUACAACUUAGGACAAGGACAGGACCAUGAUGGGGACGGUGCCUGAAGGAAUGGGGACAAAGUGAAGAGAGUGGGGGGGGGGAGUCCCUGGGCAACUGUAUGGAAUGGUUAUCUGGGAUGCUCACUGCUACUAGAGAGAUAUGUGACGUUCCACAAUAAACCUUUUGUUUG